GGAAUAUUGGGCAAUGGAGGAAACUCUGACCCAGCGACGCCGCGUGCGGGAUGAAGGCCUUCGGGUUGUAAACCGCUUUCAGCAGGGAAGAAGCGAAAGUGACGGUACCUGCAGAAGAAGCACCGGCUAACUAUGUGCCAGCAGCCGCGGUAAUACAUAGGGUGCAAGCGUUGUCCGGAAUUAUUGGGCGUAAAGAGCUCGUAGGUGGUUCGUCACGUCGGAUGUGAAACUCUGGGGCUUAACCCCAGACCUGCAUUCGAUACGGGCGAGCUUGAGUAUGGUAGGGGAGUCUGGGAUUCCUGGUGUAGCGGUGGAAUGCGCAGAUAUCAGGAGGAACACCAAUGGCGAAGGCAGGACUCUGGGCCAUUACUGACACUGAGGGGCGAAAGCGUGGGGAGCGAACAGGAUUAGAUACCCUGGUAGUCCACGCCGUAAACGGUGGGCACUAGUUGUGGGGACCUUCCACGGUCUCUGCGACGCAGCUAACGCAUUAAGUGCCCCGCCUGGGGAGUACGAUCGCAAGAUUAAAACUCAAAUGAAUUGACGG
rnacentral:rRNA from 1 species